rnacentral:tRNA from 1 species
GCUGUUUUAGUUUAUUUUAAAAUUUUUGAUUUGUAAUCAAAAGAAAAAGGUAGUU